UGCAACUCGACUACAUGAAGCUGGAAUCGCUAGUAAUCGCGAAUCAGCAUGUCGCGGUGAAUACGUUCCCGGGUCUUGUACACACCGCCCGUCACACCAUGGGAGUCAGUAACGCCCGAAGCCGGUGACCCAACCAAGAAUGGAGGGGAGCCGUCGAAGGUGGGACCGAUAACUGGGGUGAAGUCGUAACAAGGUACC
rnacentral:rRNA from 1 species